AGCAGCUUGAAUAAGAUUGUUUUCUAUUGGUCAGAGUACUAAUUGGGUAGCGAAGGUAGCAAACCAAUAGGAAGCCAGAGAUUGUCAACAUUUACCUUUGAACUUCCGGUUUAUUUGUAAGAUAUGAACAAGCAACUGGCCAAGAAAUUGAGCAAAAAUAUAGCUGAGAAUACCCGAGACCCGAGUCUUUGUAAUGUUUCUAAACUUGAAUCAAUGUAUUAAUAAAUCGUUCUGUGUAUGUAAUGUAAGUAUCAUUUAAUAAUGAGUAGCGUAAAGAUGUAAACGCACUUUUUGCGGCUUAUUACAGUAAAAGCAAAGUAUUGUAUUGUUUGUCACGUUAAAUUCGCUAAACUUCUGUGUGAAUGUGAUAGACUACCUGGCGUUCCCUCGAAACGUCGAAGUUUUGUCUAUUUAUUUUCAGGUAGGCUAUCACAUUCACACCAAGAUUUACACAGAUGUUUUAUCGAAGAUUCUACCAGCGAUCAAGCGUUCGAGAUAAAUUCGCUAAUAUUGCAUAAAAACACGAUGUAGUUUAUAUUAUAUCUAUUUCACUUUAUAGAAUGUUUAUCUACAGCUGCACCCAAGACGAAAUACAUUAAUCCGUGUUCGUGUUGUCAGCAAGUAGUUGAAUAGUUUUUUCCACCGGCACAUAAUUUUGUGAACAAAGACGAGACAUAGGCCUAUUUUAAAAACGAUGUUGACAAUAUUAUGUUGACAACAUUAUGUUGACAACAACAUACUGUACAGUAUUAAUGUUGUCUUUUUAUAAAUUAUAGUUGUACAUUUGCCUUUUUAUGUCAAUUACAGUAAACUUUAUUUCAAUUUAAUAUCGUGUGAUUUCACCACAUACUUGAAUCAGGUUGUUUUUCAUUAUAUGAUUAUACUUUGUCAGUUUAUAUAAUUUUUAAACCGAAAUCCUCACAUGUAUGAUGUAUCCUCCAGACCACACAACUCACAAGUUAAACAUGUGUUAAUCAGAUACACAUGACACCAUUAGGUAGCCUUAUGGAGAUACCUAAUAGGAUAUGGAAACAAAAUAUAUAUGUUUCUCAUAGACAUAGGGAUGCCAGAGAGAGGGGCAAAUCUGCUCUUUUCUAAGGGGGCUGAAGUGCCCUUUUAAUGUAACGUGUGCAUAUACUAAAACCUCCAAAUACAAAAGACUUCAACAGUAAAUCUGAUUGAUUAUUUUAUGUUGAGACUAAUAUAUUGCUUUAAUAAGCAUCAUGCAUGCAUGCAACCACAGAUGUGCCUCAAAGGGAAAUUACAGUAGGCUCCCUUGUCAUUUAUUAAUAGGGUCUCAUGUCCUUUGUGUAGAAAAGUUGCAAUUAAAUGAGCAGAAAUUUGAAUUACAACAAAGUUUAAAGGCCAAAUAUGCUUUCAAUAUAAUAUGACCAAUUGCCCUUACAUUUGCCGACUGCCCCUUGCCAUUUGCCAACUUCCUUUUGCCAUUUGCCGACUUCCUUUUGCCCUACCACUGCUCCAACAUCCCAUAAAUAUGAAUCAAAUAUCUAAAGGAUUGGUUCAAGGUAAUACACCUAACAACUAGUGAUGAACCUGAAUACGCAUAUGCACCCACAAUUAUCAUUUUACUGCAGUCUAACACAAAACAUCCUUACUUAUCAGGAGUAAUAAUAUUAGUUAAUGAGUAAUAGAACUAUCUGCCAGUGUCUUGUUAAAACCAUUAAUUAUUUAACUGCAAUUAGACUGGAUUCUCAUGCUUUAAUAUUUUACUUGGUCUUACACCAGGCAGUUUUACUCAUUCAAUAAAUAGAGGAGUACUGGAUGAGCCUGUUGCAUUGGGUACUAUAUUGCAAGUAUAUGUAGGAGCUAAUUGCUGUAAAUAUGUGUACACAUAUUAUACAAACAUGUUCUAAAUUUCAUUAAUUAACCCAUUAAGCGCCAGCGCUCUCCCCUUGACGAGUAACAUCGUCUGGCGUUAGACAGAGUAAAAUACUCUGGCGUUAGACAGAGUAAAAUACUAAAGUAGGGUGCAUCAGGGUGCAAUGCAACUCAAUG
rnacentral:lncRNA from 1 species